GCUCCCGUGGUGUAGUCCGGUCAAUCAUCUCUGAUUUUCGAUCAGAGGACUCGGGUUCAAAUCCCGACGGGAGCG
rnacentral:tRNA from 1 species